UUUACAGAAGGAAACGAGAUCGAGAUUUAAUCGAAUUGAUUCCUUCGUAAUCGUUUCUCCAAAGUUUUCACAAUUUUCUAAAUAAAUAAAUCCCUGUGCUUUUUCUUUGUGCGCGUUGAUCGUUUCGUCGUCCGAUACGUCGUAAUAAUUUCACGCUCGUACGUUGUGCCCGUUAACGAUCGAUAGCUCGUUCGUAAUUAUCAUCAAGCCCGCGGUACAGCCGGAACAUCUGGCGCACCACCCUAUCCGUCUAUCAUCGUGUCUUCGUGAAAACACCGGCAACGUGUAACGCAAACGAACGUACGAACGAACGGACGAACGAGCGAGCGAGUGAGCGAGCAGCAAUCGAGUGAACGACGAACGUGUACGCGCGCAUAUCACUAUAUUCGAACGCCGACAUUUGAGGUUAACGUAUCCUCGAACGAAGUUUCUUCUCGCGCGACGCGAGUGCAGUGGAUCCGAGAUUAGACGCGAAUCGGUUUUAGAAGUCAUCGGGACGACCGCCUGUACAUUGUAUCCUCGGUCACUCGCCAAAGGUGACCGACAGGACACACACUUUUUUCCUGGAAGAGGUACGCAAACGGUCUCAAGAUUCAGCUCGACACCAUGCCUUGGUUCAUCCUAUUUCUCCUGCUGUUGGCUGUGAUGGAGGCCUUCCCUCGGGAGGCCACCUGUUCCCGUUUGCCGGACAUCUAUUGGAACUCCACCAAUCCAAUGUAAGUACGAACAUUCUGCCCGUUCUGCUGUUCGUCGCGACAUCAUUUUUUGACAUCUUCAAAAUGUUCCUUCCCGUGAGAAAAAGGGAUAAAAACAAAAAAAAAAAAAAAGAAAAAAAAGUAAGAAACACAAGGAAACAAAUCGACGAUCAAACGAUAAGUAAAAAUAUCUUCUCUAUUGUAAUCUAAUUUCAUAAGUUAUUAUCUUUCCUUAGGCAUCGUAAUCCUUAACUCGAUAAAAGACAUAUUUUUCAAUCACUCUGAAUAAUAAAAAUUUUCAUUUGUUUAGAAAAAGAAACUAUGAGAUAUUAUCUUCGUAAUAAAACGUGUAAGUAGUUUGACGAUCUAGUUUUCGUAGUAGCGUUGGACUACUCGUUUGUACGGGACGAUUUGCGAGGUGCGAAAUUCGUGCUAUUGCACUAACACGAGGACGACUAAAUUGCUCGCUUAAUUGUAAUUCUAAAGCUCGGGGCCAGCGAUGCGUGAUACAUUUUUAAUACUGCAGGACAUCAAUCCCGCAUUAGCGCGGAAAUAUCCUACCGCCUGGCGCGCUUCGUGAUUCGUAGGAAAAAAAUAUUGGUGUGAGGAAGUGUGAGAAAAAGGGGGUUGGGAAGUAUACUUUCGAAGAUCUAGAAUUGCGCGACACGUAACGACCUUUCCCGAGACCUUCUUCUUACCGUUUCACUCUCGUGCCCCACAGGGGUGCUUUCAAAACGAGGACAUUAACUUUACGGUUUCUAGAUUGCGCAAGAAAGAAAUGAAAAGCCGAGCUUUCUCUCUCUCCCUCUCUCUCUCUCUCUUUCUUUCUCUCUCUUUCUUUUACUGACAGUCUUCUUUUUUCGUUUAUUUUCCGUCCUUAUUUCGAAAAGA